rnacentral:lncRNA from 1 species
UUUUGAAUUCACAGAUCUCACAAAUCAAACUAGAUAUAUACAAACAAAACCAACUGGUUUCCCCAACAGAGCCCAUGCAUACACAAAUCAAAGCAACAAAGUGAUGUAACUAAGCACAACACCAUACCUAGCCCAACAGAGAUCUGUGAACCGAACACAAAUCAAACUCUAAAUAAGCAAACAAAGUAUAUAAUACACACAUCACUUAGACAGGAUAUUCAAACAGAGCUAUUAACAUCAAAAUAUUUGACAAUUUUUGUUGCAUAAACUUUCACCAACAUUUUAAAAUGUUUCACUGUCGCCAUUUUGAUACAAGCAGAAUUGCAUCCUAUAUAGUAACUCAUGCGUAGCUUCAGAAUAUCUACAUUUCUAUUUCUCAAUAAAGUGAUAUUAAUCUAGGCGAUCAAAAAAGUGAUAUUAAUCUAGGCAAUCUAGCUUAAACUUCAGUAAAAAUUGCCUCUUGAUAUCGGACAACAACAACAACAAUAACAAAGCAUUUUCAUUGUUUGUCCAAUGAUAUUCAAACAAAUGUAAACUUUCAACAGCAUAUUAAAAUGAAGUAACAUUUUCACCAACAUGAUAUGUGAAGAAUCAGUGACUUAUUUUGUGUAGCUUCAGAAUCUCUACAUUUGUAAUUUUUAUGAAAAUGUGACACCAAUCUGCACAAUAUAGCUUCAAAGUUGUCAAAAUGCCUCUUGAUAUCCAAAAAUAACACAACAAAAAUAAAAACACAAUUCGAAAUUUGUCCACACGCCUACGUACACAUGAAGAAAGAUAGAGAAAGCGAGUGAAUAUCAACUUCUUCUUUUUUACAAAAAGUGAUUAUGCUAGCUGAUCUAAUUUCAAGCAUUAGUCAAAUUGCCUCUUAAUAUUCGCAAAUAACAACAACAAAAACAACAAUAA